AUUGAACGCUGGCGGCAUGCCUUACACAUGCAAGUCGAACGGUAACAGGUUAAGCUGACGAGUGGCGAACGGGGGAGUAAUAUAUCGGAACGUGCCCAGUCGUGGGGGAUAACGUAGCGAAAGCUACGCUAAUACCGCAUACGAUCUACGGAUGAAAGCGGGGGAUCGCAAGACCUCGCGCGAUUGGAGCGGCCGAUAUCAGAUUAGGGUGUUGGUGAGGUAAAAGCUCACCAAGCCUGCGAUCUGUAGCUGGUCUGAGAGGACGACCAGCCACACUGGAACUGAGACACGGUCCAGACUCCUACGGGAGGCAGCAGUGGGGAAUUUUGGACAAUGGACGCAAGUCUGAUCCAGCAAUGCCGCGUGCAGGACGAAGGCCUUCGGGUUGUAAACUGCUUUUGUACGGAACGAAACGGUGAGCUCUAAUACAGUUUGCUAAUGACGGUACCGUAAGAAUAAGCACCGGCUAACUACGUGCCAGCCGCCGCAGUAA
rnacentral:rRNA from 1 species